UACAGAGGUCUCAAGCGUUGUUCGGAUUCAUUGGGCGUAAAGCGUGUUCAGGCGGCCUGGCAAGUCGGGCAUGAAAUCUCUCGGCUCAACCGAGAGAGGCUGUCCGAUACUGCUGGGCUUGAGGACGGUAGAGGGUGGUGGAAUUCCGCGUGUAGUGGUGAAAUGCGUAGAUAUGCGGAGGAACACCAGUGGCGAAGGCGGCCACCUGGACCGUCCCUGACGCUCAAACACGAAAGCUAGGGUAGCGAACGGG
rnacentral:rRNA from 1 species